AGAGUUUGAUCCUGGCUCAGGACGAACGCUUGCGGCGUGCCUAAGAAAUGCAAGUCGAGCGGGGGAAGCAAUUCCCUAGCGGCGAACGGUCGCGUAACACGUAGGCAACCUGCCCGAGAGACCGGGACAACACUCCGAAAGGGGUGCUAAUACCGGAUGUGACUGGAAGGAGACAUCUCUUUCCAAUUAAAUCAUUUAUGGCUCUCGGAGGGGCCUGCGGCCUAUCAGCUAGAUGGUGGGGUAACGGCCUACCAUGGCGACGACGGGUAGCUGGUCUGAGAGGAUGGUCAGCCGGACUGGGACUGAGAUACGGCCCAGACUCCUACGGGGGGCAGCAAUUAGGAAUCUUGCGCAAUGGGGGCAACCCUGACGCAGCGACGCCGCGUGGAGGAGGAAGUCCUUCGGGAUGUAAACUCCUUUUGACGAGGAAGAAACAAAUGACGGUACUCGUCGAAUAAGCCCCGGCUAACUACGUGCCAGCAGCCGCGGUAAUACGUAGGGGGCGAGCGUUGUCCGAAGUUACUGGGCGUAAAGCGCGCGUAGGCUGGUUGUUAAGUCCGCUGUGAAAGCCCGAGGCUCAACCUCGGAGGGUCGGUGGAUACUGGCAGCCUUGAAGAUGCUAGGGGGAGAUGGAAUUACCGGUGUAGCGGUGAAAUUCGUAGAGAUCGGUAGGAACACCUGUGGCGAAGGCGGUCUCCUGGGGCAGACUUGACGCUGAGGCGCGAAAGCUGGGGGAGCGAACGGGAUUAGAUACCCCGGUAGUCCCAGCCCUAAACGAUGGAUACUAGGUGUCAGGGGUAUCGACCCCUCUGGUGCCGCAGCUAACGCAUUAAGUAUCCCGCCCGGGGAGUACGGCCGCAAGGUUGAAACUCAAAGGAAUUGACGGGGGCCCGCACAAGCGGUGGAGCAUGUUGUUUAAUACGUCACUAACCGUAGAACCUUACCAGGGUUUGACAUGCCGCGAAAUGCUGUGAAAGCAGCCUUCCCCGCAAGGGGACGCGGACACAGGUGUUGCAUGGCUGUCGUCAGCUCGUGUCGUGAGAUGUUGGGUUAAGUCCCGCAACGAGCGCAACCCUCAUCCCAUGUUGCCAGCGAGUAAAGUCGGGAACUCUUGGGAAACUGCCGGGGUAACCCGGAGGAAGGCGAGGACGACGUCAAGUCAGCAUGGCCCUUACACCCUGGGCUACAAACAUGCUACAAUGGACGGUAUACAGAGGGAUCCGAUCUCGUGAGAGGGAGGCAAUCUCAGAAAUCCGUUCUCAGUUCGGAUCGCAGGCUGCAACUCGCCUGCGUGAAGCCGGAAUCGCUAGUAACCGCAGGUCAGCUAAACUGCGGUGAAUCCGUUCCCGGGCCUUGUACACACCGCCCGUCACGUCACCUGAGUUGUCUGCACCCGAAGUCGGUGGGGUAACCGCAAGGAGCCAGCCGCCGAAGGUGUGGGGAGCGAGGGGGACGAAGUCGUAACAAGGUA
rnacentral:rRNA from 1 species